rnacentral:rRNA from 1 species
UUAAAUUGAAGAGUUUGAUCAUGGCUCAGAUUGAACGCUGGCGGCAGGCCUAACACAUGCAAGUCGAACGGUAACAGGAAGAAGCUUGCUUCUUUGCUGACGAGUGGCGGACGGGUGAGUAAUGUCUGGGAAACUGCCUGAUGGAGGGGGAUAACUACUGGAAACGGUAGCUAAUACCGCAUAACGUCGCAAGACCAAAGAG